CAGCCGCGUAAUUCCAGCUCCAAUAGCGUAUAUUAAAGUUGUUGCAGUUAAAAAGCUCGUAGUUGAAUUUCGGGAUUGACGUGAUGGUCGUGCCUUAAGGGGUAUGAACUGUCGCUGUUGAUUUCUCACCUUCUGGAGAAACUUGAUGUCCUUAAUUGGGUGUCUUGCGGAUCCAGGACCUUUACCUUGAAAAAAUUAGAGUGUUUAAAGCAGGCAUUUUUGCUCGAAUACAUUAGCAUGGAAUAAUAGAAUAGGACGGCAUGGUUCUAUUUUGUUGGUUUCUAGGAUCACCGUAAUGAUUAAUAGGGAUAGUUGGGGGCAUUAGUAUUCAAUUGUCAGAGGUGAAAUUCUUGGAUUUAUUGAAGACUAACUACUGCGAAAGCAUUUGCCAAGGAUGUUUUCAUUAAUCAAGAACGAAAGUUAGGGGAUCGAAGACGAUCAGAUACCGUCGUAGUCUUAACCAUAAACUAUGCCGACUAGGAAUCAGACGAUGUUAAUUUUUUAAUGACUCGUUUGGCACCUUACG
rnacentral:misc_RNA from 1 species